GUUUUCGUAGCGCUUUGCAUUGUGGUUAUAGUGCUAUCACUGAUAUUCAAGAUGGCUUAUUUUUUGUCCUGACCCGUGCAAGAACUUUUAAAAAAAGCUAGGGUCAGGUGCGCGAUAUCCAACAGCAAAAUAUUCGCGAAAACAUUCAAUAGUUUUAUUCGAGGCCGCUAUCUUUAUCAGUGAUACCACCAUAACCACAAUGCAAAGCGCUACGAAAACGUAAUAAGGGGAAUCGUCUAUU
rnacentral:lncRNA from 1 species